ACUCACACAAGCUCCCUGCUCUCAGGAGAAUCUGGCACAGCACCAUCACCAACUCAGAGGGAGGGAAGCAACCUUGAGUCAGCUCCCAGGCAGUAAUGAGUGUUCAAGGGAGAUAUAACUCUAAGGAAAAGGAUUGAGGUCAAGGAAUUAGAAGAAACAGAUGGAAGAAUCAUUUGAACCAUAUCCAGGUCUUUUGAAAAUGAUGAGACAGAAGAGAAAGCGAAAAUUGCUUCAGACAGUUUUGCUGAGAAAUUUGUCUCAGAUAAAUUUUGGAGUAAGACACUUUUGCCAAUGAUAUUAAUACUAUAAAGGAGCAUUUCUGGACUUGAUUCAUUAAUGAUUAGAAAGCUCGUAACAGAUUAGAUGACCAGGCUACAGUCUCACCUGCCAGGCAGUGCAGCUGCAGAUCUUGGCUGACCAUCAUGUCAUAUGUAACAUUAACUUCUUAUACGUGGGCACCUACUAUGUGCCAGUCACUGUGCCAGGAGUUGGAAAUAUGAGGAAGACCGUAAUUCUCAUAAUGAGAAUACAAGGAAGACCAUCUCUCAAGAAAGGA
rnacentral:lncRNA from 1 species